UACGAAGGGGGCUAGCGUUGUUCGGAGUUACUGGGCGUAAAGGGCGCGUAGGCGGCGCACCAAGUCAGGCGUGAAAGCCCUGGGCUCAACCCGGGAAUUGCGCUUGAGACUGGUGUGCUUGAGUACGGGAGAGGAUAGUGGAAUUCCCAGUGUAGAGGUGAAAUUCGUAGAUAUUGGGAAGAACACCGGUGGCGAAGGCGGCCUGCUGGGACAGUGCUGACGCUGAGGAGCGAAAGCGUGGGGAGCGAACAGG
rnacentral:rRNA from 1 species